AUGGGACCCAGAGACGAUGGAAAAUGCACUAUAUUAGUGAAGUUUUGGCACUCAGAUCGUGUAUUUUUUUAUAUAAUUUGUGACACAAAAGUGACUGUUCAGUGCAACUUCAUGUAUACCAUGGUGGGUAUAUUCAGCUCUUUCAUCAUUUACCUUGCUUCAAACAUGUGUCAGAAAUUCGAAGGCUGCCUACAAGCGAACUUCCAUCUUUUUCCUAAUCGGCUUGUUAUUAUAGCCGUGGAUCAACACGAGAACCACAGCGGAUUACAGGUCAUUGUUUCUCAGCAAAAAUACAAGCCAUGGAGAUCAUGA
rnacentral:rRNA from 1 species